AUGGUCUCUCAGAAACUUGAACAGAUGCUCUAGUCUGCUGUCUUCUGGAGGAAUUAAACCUUAUGGCUAGAACUUUGAGUAACAUGAGCGCAACGAAAUAGUAAUUUGGGGGAAAAGGCAGAGAUCACUUUUAAUAGGUUAAUUAUUCAAUCAAGAAAAAGAAGGAACACCCAAUGUCAUCCUGGAGGAUCCAAAUCCUGUGGCAUGGCACAGAUCACAUCUCUGGGAUUUCAUUCUCUGCCUUCCACUUAGGAGGAGGAUGUCACCCAUCUUAAGCCUGGGCAUGUCUCUUGUCUCUGUGAUACCUAUCCUAAGGCUUAGAAGAUGCUACGACAGCUGUGACAAGGAGUGUUCUACCAGUUACAUAGCACAGUCACAUGCUGGUGCUUGAGCCUCUGUUACCUUUAACUUCCCUGUGCAAGUCCAGUCUCCCCCUUUCUUGGUGGAUUUACUGGUGGCUAAGAUUGCGUCUUAGUCACCUUUUCCUAUAGCACGUACUUAAUUUCCAGCUCUCUCUUUUAUCUGUUGUCAGUUUUCAUGAAAACUGUACAAAUGUUACAUUUUGGAGGAGCCAACAGUGCUGUCAGAUUGGGUUGGAAUGGACCAGUGGGUUGAAAAGCUAUUGCAAAGUCAUGGAGACACAGAAAUGCCCAUACUUAUAAGCAUAAAUAUGACUGAGCACUGUUCACUUUGUGGUGUCUGGUGUCACAGCAUUUUGAUGCCAUUGUCACUGUGUCCUUAGUAAGCCUCUGCCAAAUUCACAGUCUGGAAUUUGUCCUGUUUCACCUUGUUUUAUCACCUGGGGUUGAAAUGAAUUUUGAAACCAGAGGGAAGCACAAGGAGCUGGCACACAGUGGGGUCCUGGCUCUGAUCUCUCCAGAGCCACUGACUCACUCUGUGAUGUUCAGCAAGGCUGUUGACCUGCCUGUGCUUUGUGCUACACAGCUGGAAAAUGGAGUAAAAAAGAAAAAAAAGCAAUGGGAACAUCACUGAAAAGAGGAGAUGCAAAGAAUUUCUGGAUAAACAAAUCACCCAAGCCCAUCCACUCCAGCCACCCCCCUCCUCCUCUCUUCACCUUAUAGUUCAAGCAAGAAGGAGUUUAAAGUGGAAAGUCUGAGGCUGUGUUUUCUUACAUGUUUUGGAUCCUCCUUUAACUGUGAAAAUGUUCAAAGUGAAAACUUGGCCUGGCAACAGUUUCUGAAUGACCUUGCUUUGGCUGUGAAAUCCACUGCAGCUAUGCAGGAGCAGAUUUUUAUAGUCUUCUCUGGUAGAGAAACAAAAAGGUUUAUUAUUUUUUUAUUAGUAUUGUUGUUAUUAUUAUUAUAAAGGAAACUUUAUACAGACUGUGUGUUAUGCUUUCUCCUAGUGUUCAAGGUCAAAUCUGCAGUUCUUGUCUCACUUUUCCCCACUCACUUUAUAUAACCCCAAAAAACCCUGCUCUCUCACUGCAGAUGCUCCACAGCAGCAGAGAGGAAGGACAGAAGUGCAAGAAGACAGUGUAACAUUGCUGCCAUUGCAGCCAUACACAGUAAAGUCUCACGUCUAGGCAAUGUGAUCUUGUAGUUUAAAGUUGCUAAUUACAAUUGCUUAAUGGAAGUGUGACAAAUGCUGCCUCCUAAUUGAAAGGAGUAGUGAUUCACAGGAAGCCUAACAUAUCCAGGACUCCCAGAUACAAGUUCCUUAUGCUACAAGCCAUGAUGCUGGAGAUAAACACCUCCAGUGUAUUAACUUCAAGCCAUAACUUAAAAAUGGCUGAAGACACCACUGGUGAAGAUUUGAUAACAACUGCUCUCCAGUUUGGUAGUGAGUGCAGGAUCAGAAGCUGUGUCUGAACUUCUAGACCUCAGCUGGAGCUAACUUGAUGGUCCUCAAGCACCCUCUGCUAAACACUGCAAUAGAUUGCUGCAGGCCAUUUUUGCCAGGGCACUAUAUGCAGCACCAACCAUGUACUGAUUGAGAAAAAACAUUUAUGUUUGCUGAAAAGGCUUCACUCUAUGUGGCAGUGGUUCUUUACAUGUGCAGCCAAUACACACCACACCUCGACAAGACCCACAAGUGCACACAGCACAGGAGAUUAGGAUAUAUGUGCCUGCACACUCUUAUGAAGUUGAGCCUUAGGUGACAACUAAUUCUGAAUGACGUGUUAAAAAAAGCCACAGAUCUGCAGUAAGGGCUAAUCCUAACCUGAAAAAAUGCUUCUCUUUCUAUCCUUGUCUGACCCUUGGGAAAGAAAGCCUAGUCUUUGACAUUGACUUUACCCAUGGCCUUAGGCAAGUCUUAGUCUCAACUUCUUAGCUUUAUACACUGGGCAUAAUAAACAUUUUGUUUUAGUUG